CAAGGCUACAUACCUAGACAAGGGACCACCCACUGUUCUGGAGAAGAGCUGUUAGUUCCAGCUGUCUGCCCUCAUGCAUGCAGCUGUGGGAGGAGUUCCGGAGUCACGACCAGAUUCCUUAAGGGGUUUCAAAACUGGGCCCUUCUGCUGAUAGCUCAGCUGCUUCUGGCUUAGCUCUUCCCACCCCACCUCCAUCCCCACCUCUGUAGGACCCAUUUCCCUUGCUGGGUCACUAACCUCAGAACACCUUGGCCUGGCUAAGAUUUGAGAUGUACAUUCCUCCUCAGUGUUUCCAAUUAGCCAUUUCCCCACAGGAGUUUCUUCAGCCCACCCUGCUUCACCUUUUUCUUACUGAGGGUUUGACUGCUAAUGGCAAAGACAGAUGGAAAUAAAGUAGCCAGCUUGGGAGGAAAUCAGAUUCACAGGGAGUCUGGCCAUCCAAUCCAGAGAAGAUCUGAAUUUUCUUUUACUAGGAGCCAGGAGCAGGAGGACAGCCUUGCAAGGCAGGAGACACGGGUUUGAUCCCUGAUCAGGGAACUGAAAUUCUACAUGCCCAGAGACCACUAAGCAGGCACACAGCGACCACUGAGCCUACGUGCCACAGCUGGAGAGCCCCGUGCCACAGCAAAAGAUCCCGCCUGAUGCCACAAAGACACAAGGAUGCAGCCAAAUAAAUAAAUAAACAUUUAAUAAAUAAAUAAAUUCUGUCCCUCUUCCUUCUAAGUAU
ensembl:lncRNA